rnacentral:rRNA from 1 species
AGAACUUAGCAGAGAUGCUUUGGUGCCUUCGGGGAACUCUGAGACAGGUGCUGCAUGGCUGUCGUCAGCUCGUGUUGUGAAAUGUUGGGUUAAGUCCCGCAACGAGCGCAACCCUUAUCCUUUGUUGCCAGCGGUUAGGCCGGGAACUCAAAGGAGACUGCCAGUGAUAAACUGGAGGAAGGUGGGGAUGACGUCAAGUCAUCAUGGCCCUUACGAGUAGGGCUACACACGUGCUACAAUGGCGCAUACAAAGAGAAGCGACCUCGCGAGAGCAAGCGGACCUCAUAAAGUGCGUCGUAGUCCGGAUUGGAGUCUGCAACUCGACUCCAUGAAGUCGGAAUCGCUAGUAAUCGUGGAUCAGAAUGCCACGGUGAAUACGUUCCCGGGCCUUGUACACACCGCCCGUCACACCAUGGGAGUGGGUUGCAAAAGAAGUAGGUAGCUUAACCUUCGGGAGGGCGCUUACCACUUUGUGAUUCAUGACUGGGGUGAAGUCGUAACAAGGUAGGCGUAGAUGA